rnacentral:lncRNA from 1 species
AUGUCAGGAGAGUUUGGAUUCAUCACCAAUCCCUCUGCCCGGAGACCCAGAUCAGAAGUGAUUUCAUUCAUGAAGCCUCUCUGCCAGAGCUCGUUAGUGAAGUGUGACAACAAAAAAAUAGAAAAAAAUAAAUCCCUCAAAGGGAAAAAGAAGGAGGGGGAAUCAAAGAAGGAAGACUCAGAUAUUCUGUCAGGUAUGUUUGUGUUGUUUGUUUUUUCAAAGGUUUUGUGAAAAUGCACUUACUUAAAAGGAAAAUUUGUUUUAUUAACUUCUCUGUAGAAUUAAUAUUCGCCCAUAGAAAAUGCAGCCUCCUCUAAUUUUGGCUGUUUAUCUCUCUUCAUUUUGUGUGCAUGUGUGUGAGUGAAAUCUUGUACCCACUGAGCUUCCAUAAAAUUAUAUGAUGCCUGGGUCCCUUACAUCCUGUGUUCAGCACAAAGCAGGAACCCGAAUGCUGCAGCUGGAUGCACGAUUGCUGAUGUCCAGAAUAUCUGAUGUGAUAUAUGACUUGAAGAGGAGCAACGUUUUCUUCAGUAAAAGAGGUGAAAUAAAAGGGUAAGUUUUAAAAGGUGAGUUUUCUUG